GGUUUAUUAAUGAGGAGAGUGAAGAUAUGAAGAUUGAAGAUGCAUUCAGAGUGAAACAUGAAGAAUCUGAGGAACAGACAGAGAUAGAGUUUAUUA